rnacentral:rRNA from 1 species
UACGUAGGGUGCAAGCGUUGUCCGGAAUUAUUGGGCGUAAAGAGCGUGUAGGCGGUCCGGUAAGUCAGCUGUGAAAGUCAAGGGCUCAACCCUUGAAAGCCGGUUGAUACUGUCGGGCUAGAGUCCGGAAGAGGCGAGUGGAAUUCCCGGUGUAGCGGUGAAAUGCGCAGAUAUCGGGAGGAACACCAAUGGCGAAGGCAGCUCGCUGGGACGGUACUGACGCUGAGACGCGAAAGCGUGGGGAGCAAACAGG